rnacentral:rRNA from 1 species
GACGAACGCUGGCGGCGUGCUUAACACAUGCAAGUCGAGCGGUAAGGCCCUUUCGGGGGUACACGAGCGGCGAACGGGUGAGUAACACGUGGGUGACCUGCCCUCAGCUCUGGGAUAAGCCUGGGAAACCGGGUCUAAUACCGGAUAUGACUCCAUGACGCAUGUUGUGGGGUGGAAAGCCUUGUGCGGCUGAGGAUGGG